GAGUGGUGUGUGGCUGGCCGCGUGGUCUGUCUGUGACACCCUCAGUCCCACCCUGGCCAGGCGCGGCGCCCCACACAGCAGAACACUUCCUGCCACGACUCCACUCAGGGCCCCACACCAGCCCCAGCCAGGCUCCACACCCUCAGCCCCACCCUGGCCAGGGCGCGGCGCCCCACACAGCAGAACACUUCCGGCCACGACUCCACUCAGGGCCCCACACCAGCCCCAGCCAGGCUCCACACCCUCAGAGAUGGCAGAAUAAAAGAAAACUGAGUAUUAGACAUCUGGUGAGCUGCAGGAAGGGUUGGGGGCGAGGCUGUGUUAUAUGGCUAAAAGUGUUUGCAAGACACUCCGCCAUGCCACUGGGAUCACUAACUGUUGACCCGUGCCCCAUCAGGACGUCAUUGUCUCCAGUCGUGUGGUCCAGUGAGUCACCGCUCUACCGCACGACAGUGACCCCAAGGAAGUCCCGGUUAGUCAGUCCGUCUGUCAGUGAGGGACAUAACCCCUGCCUGAGCUAACCCAUCGCUGAGUCAGGCAUUCAUUAUUUGUGUUAUUUCAAGCCAUAAGAGUAGCCUAGCAUAUGAUGAGGAGGAGGCAUCCAUCAGUCUACUCAUGCAUUUGAGAUAUAACGUAACACAAGAUAAUAAGGAGUCUGCAAGAGGCUGAUAGGCCAAUACAAGGCAGCUCCUCACUAUCCAUGAACUCAUCUAACCUCUUCUUGAAUGUAUCUUGUGUUGGCACCCACCACAUGACUGCCAGGUGUGUUCCACUCAUCCACCACUCUGUCAGUAAAUCAUUUCUUUCCUGUGUCCUGAAUUUAUCUUACUUGAACCCAUUGCUACGUGUCCUACCCGGCCCUCACACCACCAAAGUCUUAUUAACACCCCUUAUUAAUUAAAGCCCUUCAUACAUUUGUAAACCUCCGUCAAGUCUCCUCACACCCUUCGCUUUUCUAGAGAAUGCAGGUUUAAAUGUUUAGGUCUGUCCUCAUAUGGCAAGUUUCUCACCCCUAAAGAUGUAUUGUAGAGGAUUGUAACCCUUUCCCAUAUACAAACACAGGUAAACAUACACACAUUAACCCUUCCUGACCUGUCGUAACCCUCCACAAGUCCACAGCAGGGAUGUGGCCACCCCUGGCCACAGCCCCAAGUGUUCCCUGGUGGGCCAUACUCACUGAGCUCCUCCUUAUCCUCCUCCUCCUCACCCUGCUGCCGUGGAAGGUGAGGGAGAGAGAGAGGGACUUUGAUCACUGUCUUCAACACCAAUAAUCAUAAUCUAUUUACCAGUGAGCUACAUGAA